ACAUGUGAGAGCGAUCUAGCUGCAACAUUUGUGCCUACACUUAUUAUUAUGGUCAAUCUGACUGAUCUGGCUGGUUAGGCAGGCAUCCCUCUUCCUCCCUCACCACUCUAUGUACAUCUGUCCCAAAGCUGCAAUGUUUUCAAUACUAAAAGUGUUGGGAGCCAAGGAAACUGGAAAAUUGGUUAAAUGUGUGAAAGCAGCACUAAGCCUCAGUGCCUAAAGCAGUCAAGGUACCGCAGUCUUGAGAUAAGCAUACUAAGUGGUUAAUGUCAUAUAAAAAUACUUCACUUCCCCUUUUU
rnacentral:sRNA from 1 species